UACGUAGGGUGCGAGCGUUGUCCGGAAUUAUUGGGCGUAAAGAGCUUGUAGGUGGUUUGUCGCGUCUGCUGUGAAAAUCCGAGGCUCAACCUCGGACUUGCAGUGGGUACGGGCAGACUAGAGUGUGGUAGGGGAGACUGGAAUUCCUGGUGUAGCGGUGAAAUGCGCAGAUAUCAGGAAGAACACCCGUGGCGAAGGCGGCUCUCUGGAACGCAACUGACGCUGAGACGCGAAAGCGUGGGGAGCAAACAGG
rnacentral:rRNA from 1 species